AGAGUUUGAUCCUGGCUCAGAACGAACGCUGGCGGCGUGGAUAAGACAUGCAAGUCGAGCGCUGAUUUCAGGGUAGCAAUAUUCUGAGGUUGGAGCGGCGCAAGGGUGCGUAACACGUGGGUAAUCUGCCAUGAAGUUCGGGAUAACUUGCUGAAAGGCGAGCUAAUACCGGAUGUGACAGCUGAAAGACAUCUUUUGGUUGUUAAAGUUGGGGACCGUAAGGCCUGACGCUUCUUGAUGAACCCGCGGCCUAUCAGCUAGUUGGUGAGGUAACGGCUCACCAAGGCUAAGACGGGUAGCUGGUCUGAGAGGACGACCAGCCACACUGGAACUGAGACACGGUCCAGACACCUACGGGUGGCAGCAGUCGAGAAUUUUUCACAAUGGGCGCAAGCCUGAUGGAGCGACGCCGCGUGGGGGAUGAAUGGCUUCGGCCCGUAAACCCCUGUCAUUCGCGAUCAAACGUUAUUAUUUAAAAGAUGAUGACCUGAUAGUAGCGGAAGAGGAAGGGACGGCUAACUCUGUGCCAGCAGCCGCGGUAAUACAGAGGUCCCAAGCGUUGUUCGGAUUCACUGGGCGUAAAGGGUGCGUAGGUGGUGAGGUAAGUCGGAUGUGAAAGCUCGGAGCUCAACUCCGAAAUGGCAUUGGAAACUACCUUGCUCGAGGGUUGGAGGGGGGACUGGAAUACUUGGUGUAGCAGUGAAAUGCGUAGAUAUCAAGUGGAACACCAGUGGCGAAGGCGAGUCCCUGGACAACUCCUGACACUGAGGCACGAAAGCUAGGGGAGCAAACAGGAUUAGAUACCCUAGUAGUCC
rnacentral:rRNA from 1 species